GCCGGAAGAGGUGCGGGGGCUGCAGCGGGGUGCAGGGGAUCGUAUGCAGUGGAGGAGGCCUGGGCGCGGCUGGGGGCCGGGGGGCGCUGAGGCUGCCCGAACGCCUAGGAGGUCUCGAGGGCCUGGAAAUCCACGCGGCUUCCCAAAGACGGCGCCUCUGUUCUGCGGGUUCGUGACGAGGAUUUAUUUCCACCCACUGCGCCUGGGCGCAGGUCUGCGGGUCCGCGCCCACUGCGUGCGGCGCCACGGACCAUGUCGGUGACUGAUCAGGCUUUUGUCACACUGGCCACAGAUGACAUCUACUGCCAGGGCGCCCUGGUCCUGGGGCAGUCACUGAGGAGACACAGGCUGACGAGGAAGCUGGUGGUGUUGAUCACUCCUCAGGUGUCCAGCCUGCUCAGAAUCUGCAGCCUCACCGGUCCUCUCCAUGGUUUCCUGAAGGCCAUAGAAGGAAGACAGCGUCUCUGCAUUGUCCUGAACAUUAACUUUAUUGCUUCACUUUCGGUAGCUUCUGAUGAUGACAUGAAGUCACUGGCUGUGUAGAAGGUUGAUUUUGUGCAGAAUUAGACCAAGUAAUUGGAAAUACUGAAGGAGCAAAUAAAUAUGAUAUGGGAGUG
ensembl:lncRNA novel transcript